UGUUCUAAAUAAAUGCGAUAGGUGAGGGU
rnacentral:sRNA from 1 species